rnacentral:rRNA from 1 species
GAGACCAUACUAAACUCAUUCGCCAGAGUACUACAAGCGAAAGCUUAAAACUCAAAGGACUUGGCGGUGUUUCAGACCCACCUAGAGGAGCCUGUUCUAGAACCGAUAAUACUCGUUUAACCUCACCACUUCUUGUUUCCCCAGCCUAUAUACCGCCGUCGUCAGCUUACCCUGUGAAGGCCAAAAAGUAAGCAAAAUGGGUAUAACCCAAAACGUCAGGCCGAGGUGUAGCGCACGAAGUGGGAAGAAAUGGGCUACAUUUUCUAAUAAUAGAAUAUUACGCACGACGCACUGAAACGUGCAUCUUAAAGGUGGAUUUAGUAGUAAAAAGCAAAUAGAG